AGUUUUAUGAAUCCAUAUAAAAUUUUUUCUGCCCAAUGUAUUUUAUAUAAAUGGCCGCAGUACCUUGACUGUGCUAAGGUAGCAUAAUCAAUUGGCUUUUAAUUAAAGUCUAGAAUGAACGGGAUCAUGGGAUUUUUCUGUCUUAAAAAAUUUAAUUAUAAUUUAUUUAUAAGGUGAAAAUACCUUUAUUUAAAAUAAAGACGAGAAGACCCUAUGAAUUUUUAUCUUUUUUUGUUGGGGCGACAAUUUAACAUUUGAUCUUAAAUUAACGUAUUUAACGAUUUUUUUAAUUAAAAUUAAAUUACCUUAGGGAUAACAGCAUUAUUGUAUAAACAGUUUGUGACCUCGAUGUUGGACUAGGAACUAUAAGGCUAACAGUCUAAAUAGAUUUGUUCUGUUCGAACAAUUAUAUCCU
rnacentral:rRNA from 1 species